ensembl:lncRNA novel transcript
AGAGCGGCCCAGGAGCCCCGGGUGACUGCCCCGGACUUCAGGGCCCGGCUUCGCUUUCCCCCUGCAGGACACUCCAGGUACUGCAUGGCCCCGGGCCCCAAGGGCAGGGAGCGAGACCCUGGAGUGAAGACCCCCCGGCCCCGCCAGGUGUGAUGGGGGGGCCCUGGGGAUAGGGUCCCCGAAGCAAAGCUGAGACUCAGAGGUGGGCUGCUGAGCCACGCCGUCCGCAGGGGCGGUGGCUACAGGUAGUUGUCUUCUGCGGCGUCGCUCCCGCCCCUGGAGCCCCGGGGCUCAUCCUCGUCGUCGUCGUCGUCAUCGGGGGCCAGCGCCUCGAUGUCGUGCGUGAUGUCAGCCAGCAGCCGGUGGAAGGCCUGUGCCUCGGGCCGCUGCGCCGCGCCAUCGUAGCUGCGCACUGCGGAGGCCGACGUGGAGCUCAUGCUGCGCUUGAUGCGGCCGAAGCUGUCAGUGAGGAUGCCGCCCUCGCGGAUGCCCACGCCCUCCAGGAAGCCCUCGAAGUAGCCGAUGUCCUGGUCCGGGAUGAAGGGCCGCAUCCCUGCGAGCCGAGGGGCAUGGUUAUGUCCAGGGCAAUGUGCCAUUCCCAAAAUGUUUACUCCAGCCUCCAGGCUUUUGCUUGUGCCAUUCCCACCACCGGCCCCAGCUCACCGUGACCAUGUAAUCCUGUAACUGCUCCAAGCCCAGACUGCUGUGGUCGCUGCCGCUGCAGUGGGAGCCAUGGAAAGAAGGUGUGGACGUGCCGCUGUAACAUGCUUCAAAGGUGUCCUGGGAGCCAUUACUGCAGGCACGGGAAGAAGGGCCUUCACUCGCCUCCCUCCAGCUCCUGGCCCUCAGGCAGGCUGAAGGUAGGAGGCCUCAUCCUAGACUGCAUGCUGGCCUCCAAGGCCUCGCAUACCCUGGCCCCUGGCACCUCUCAAGUCUCAUCUGUCACUGUGCUUGCCUUUGCCUUUGCUCUUUGUGCUUCGCGCCCCCCACCCCCCUUCUCCUUCUUCCUCUACUAUCUCCUCACCUCUGGGUGUUUGCACCUGCUGGUCCCUCUGCCUGGAUUGCCUCCUUUCCCCUCCCUUUUGCACAGCUAACUCUUACUCAUCCCGUGAUCUUAAAUGUCAUCUCCUCAGGAGAGUGUUCCCUAAUUCCCCUAGGUUGGGUUAGAACCUCUGUCGAACAUGCUCCCUCAGUCCAUGGCCUACCUGUGACAUGCAUGGCCUUUCCAGGUACCCCCAAGCAUCCUCUCUGACCACUCUCUCCCUCACACCAUUUGCCACAGCCACAGUGGCCACCUGCUGCCCCUCAAACCCACUAAGCUCUAUCCUGUUCAAAAUUUUUUUUUUUUUUUUUUGAGACAGAUUCUUGCUCUGUCACUGAGGCUGGAGUGCAGUGGUGCGGUCUUGGCUCACUGCAGCCUCCGCCUCCCGGGUUCAAGCAAUUUUCAUGCCUCAGCCUCCUGAGUAGCUGGGACUACAAGCAUGUGCCACCCAGCCAAUUUUUGUAUUUUUAGUAGAGACAGGGUUUCACCAUGUUUGUCCAGGCUGCUCUCAAAUGCCUCACCUCAAGCAAUCUGCCCACCUCAGCCUCCCAAAAUGCUGGGAUUACAGGCGUGAGCCACCACGCCUGGUUAGUUCAGGAUUCUUACAUUUGCUGUUCCCUCUACCUGGAACACUCUUCCCCCUUUCAUCCUCCAAGCCUCAGUUCAUGUGCCAUCACCUCUGAGAGGCCCUCCUGACUCUCCAGCUGAGUUGCGGUCCCCCUCUGCCUCUCUUAUAGCACCCUGAGCCUCCCUUUAGUACUUAUUACCAUUAAUGAUUGUUACUGUUAAAUUGCGAUUUCAUUGCCUCCUAUCCUAGACUGUAAACUUGACAAGAGCAGGGACUUUGGUUUUCUUCAUUUGUUGAACACCUACUAUGUGCCAGGCCCAGGUUUUGCCCUCUGUCUUGUGUCCAUCUGUAUCCCCAGCACACAGCAGAGUGCCUGGCACAUAGGAGGUACUCAAGAAAUAUUGCUUAAUAAAAACUCAACCUUAGGCUCCUGCCUCCUUGUCUCUAAAUUGUUCCAGAACCAUCCUCCAUUAUUACCUACAAAGAAGCCGUGUAGCUUUGUGGUUAAAGGACUGGAUUCUGGAGCCAGCCUUCUUCUGUUCAAAUCCCAUACUUACAACUUACUAGGUGCUUGACCUUGGGAAAACUAAACUUAAUUUCUCUAUUUCUCAAUUUUUCCAUCUGUAUAAUGGGAUAAUAAUAAUUAGUGUCAUCAUGAGAAUUAGAGGAGUUAAUAUUUGUAGAACACUUAGAAUUAUGGGCUAUAAGCAAUAAACAGUAGCUGCUGUAAUGUUACUAUGUUGAUGAAAAAAUAAAGUGCUUUAUAGAACAGCACUUAGUACAUAGCAAGUUCAAUGUUCAAACGCUAUUAUCACUAUUUUAUCUCUUCAGUAGAUAUCUGGUUGUUUAAAGACUAGCCUAAGGGCAUACAGUAUGAGGAAGGCAAAUCUAUUGCCACUAAAAAGGAAAGAAACAAUAAGACAUAUAUCACUGGCAGAGACUGCUACAUGCCAAACUGAAGCCCUUAGUAAUAUAACUAGGUGAUCAACCAGUAACCCAGGACUUUCUUGGUUUUAGCACUGAAAAUCCCAUAUCCGGGGGAACCCCUCAUUCCUGAGCAAACUGGGAUGGCUGGUCACCCUAAACAGAACCCUGGGUAAUGUUCCCAACUGAAUUGUUUAAAAUUUUAUUUAUUUAUUUGUUUAUUUAUUUAUUUCAAUAGAGACAGGGUCUCCCUAUGUUGCCCAGACUGGUCUCAAACUUGUGGGCUCAAGUGAUCCUCCUGCGUUGCCCUCCCAAAGUGUUGGGAUUACAGGCGUGAGCCACCAUGACUGGCCUGAAUUUUUCUUUUUUUUUUUUUUUGAGAUAGAGUCUCGCUCUGUCGCCCAGGCUGGAGUGCAGUGGCGCAAUCUCAGCUCACUGUAAGCUCCGCCUCCUGGGUUCACGCCAUUCUCCUGCCUCAGCCUCCCAAGUAGCUGGGACCACAGGUGUGCGCCACCAUACCUGGCUAAUUUUUGUAUUUUUGGUGGAGAUGGGGUUUCGCCAUGUUGCCCAGGAUGGUUUGGAACUCCCAGGCUCAAGCGAUCCACCUGCCUCAGCCUCCCAAACUGUUGGGAUUACAGGUGCGAGCCACCGCAUCUAGCCUGAAAUAUAUUUUUUUAAUCCUAAAUUUUCCAGCUUUGCUUGCAGCUAGUGAUGGCUAUGUGACCAAGUUCUGGCCUAUGAGAUAUAAGCAGAAGUCAUCAGGUGGGAAUCUGGCAAAACUCUUUAAAGAGGCCCCUUAGCAUGCUACUGUGAUGGCUGGAGCUACAACCACCAUCUCGGUCCAUGAGGUGACCUUGAGGAUGGCUGCAAGUCCUGAAGAGGGUAGGGAAGGAAAAGAGAAGCCUGAGCUCCUAACAACCAUGAAAUGUUGAAUUGCUGCUCUAUUUUAUGUCAAAUAUAAGAAAAAAAAGUUCUAUCUUGCUUAAGAUACUCUUUUUGGGGAUUUUCUAUUACAUGGAACCAAAAUUAAGCCAAGAUAAUUUUUUUGGCAUGUAGCUAUGAUUUUGGUUUCUGCAGACCACUGUGCCUGGAUGACUGGGAGAGAACCACAGGACUGUGUGGACCCACAUCUGAGUUCUGGUGUCUCCUGGGUCUCUCAAGGGUCUGGAUCCUGUGGGUUUCCAGAGUCAGGGAGCUCAGUUUACCUCCCCCUCUUAGUGCCCAGUGUCUCAGCACACAUCAAGGUUGGGUCACCUUCUCCUACCCUCUCUAGUCACCCUGUUUGUGCAGGGGUAGGGGAGCAGGGUGGAGUCCCUGACAGGGGCUGUACUCACAAGGAGCUGCAGCAGCUGAAGUCGGCAUCAUAGGCAUACGUCCCAUCUGUGUGGCAGCUCUCACCUGGGACCAGCAGACAGAGGGACUGUCAGAGGCAGCAAAGCAGGGAUCAGCAUCCCCUGCUCCCUGAGGCCCCACCCUCAGUCUCAGCCUGAAGUCUAGUCCUGCCUCUGACACCAACACACAACAGACCCUGGGGAACUCCCCUCCCCUCUCCUGAUCCUCAACUUCCCCGAUGUGGGGACAAUACCACCCCCCACCUACCUCAUAGGAGCCUUGGGAACAGCAGAUGAGGAAACAUGUGAGGGAAUAUUUUGUAAACUGUGU